rnacentral:rRNA from 1 species
AGAGUUUGAUCCUGGCUCAGAAUCAACGCUGGCGGCGUGCCUAACACACGCAAGUCGAACGAGAAAGUGGAGCAAUCCAUGAGUAAAGUGGCGACCGGGUGAGUAACACGUGACUAACCUACCUCCGAGUGGGGAAUAACUCCGGGAAACCGGGGCUAAUACCGCAUAACAUCGCAAGAUCAAAGCAGCAAUGCGCUUGGAGAGGGGGUCGCGGCUGAUUAGCUAGUUGGCGGGGUAACGGCCCACCAAGGCGAAGAUCGGUAUCCGGCCUGAGAGGGCGCACGGACACACUGGAACUGAAACACGGUCCAGACUCCUACGGGAGGCAGCAGUGGGGAAUUUUGCGCAAUGGGGGAAACCCUGACGCAGCAACGCCGCGUGGAGGAUGAAGCCCCUUGGGGCGUAAACUCCUUUCGACCAAGACGAUAAUGACGG